rnacentral:piRNA from 1 species
UGGGAAAUUGUUUGAAAACAC